UUACAUAAACUAAUAAAAUUAGGAAAAUAUCAAAACCCGACGCACUACCCACAAAACCUGUAACUUUCCCUCUCCCUCCCUUCUCCAUCGUCUCUCCGAGGCCAUCGAACAACCGUCGCUUCGCACACUUGGACGACACCAAGACAUGGAUGCCCAAUCAUCGAUGUAAACUGUGCUUUGAGUCGGUAUUGGUGGAUCUACGGCGAGGUGAUGGUUUUGGUUUUCGAAUGUUGGUGGAUCUGCGUUGGUAUCGAUUUUUGAAGUUUCCAAAAUCCUCGUUGAUGCUAUGUGAUUUAGGUGUGGUGUUGGUUGAAAAUGGUGGAGGUGAUGAUGACAGUGAUGGUAGAGAUCUGAUUUGUUGGUGGAGAGCUGGUGGUUGCUGCGCGGGUUGUGGUGGUGGUAGCGGUGUGGAUUUACGGCGGGGUAAUGAUGGUUUUGAUUUUAGAAUGUUGGUGGAUCUGUGUCGGUAUCAAUUUUGGAAGUCUCUAAAAUCAUCGUUGCUGGUAUGGUGGUUUGGGUGUGGUUGGUUGAAAAUGGUAGAGGUGGUGAUGGCGGUGAUGGUGAAGAUCAGAUUUGUUGGUGGAGAGCUGGUGGUGGCGAUACGGGUUGAGAUGAUAGUGGUGGGAUGGAGACGGCGAUGAUGGUGAGAUGGUGUGAUGAUGCGCGGUUUAGGGAUGCCAACAGUUUUGGAUUCGAUUUGUUGGUGGUGUUGGGGUGGUGGUUGUUGUUAUGCUGGCUCCAAUGGUGGUUGUGACCGUGGUUGUCUGUGACUAUUAAAUUUUUUAAUCUGUGAACGAUAAAUAAUAUGUGAUCAAUAAAAAAUAUAAAUUGUAACUAAGAAAUAAUGAGUGACCUAAAAAUUUGUUCAUCUAUGAUCGAUAAUUCGAUAAUUUAUUAUUGUAUAAUAAGUUGUUACUCGUAACAUUUGUGAUUUAUGAUCAAUAAAUAAAUCGUGACUCAUAAAUUUUUUCAUUUGUGAUUGAGGAACAAACUAUGACCUAUAAAU
rnacentral:lncRNA from 1 species